CCUACGGGAGGCAGCAGUAGGGAAUUUUUCGCAAUGGGCGAAAGCCUGACGCAGCAACGCCGCGUGAUUGCUUAAGCCCUUCGGGGUGUACAGAUCUGUCAGUGGGGACGAAACUUGACGGUACCCACAGAGGAAGCACCGGCUAACUCCGUGCCAGCAGCCGCGGUAAUACGGAGGGUGCGCGCGUUGUCCUGAUUCAUUGGGGGUAAAGAGUUCGUGGGGGGCAAAUUAAGUCUGGGGUUAAAUGCAGAAGCUCAACUUCUGUUCGGAACUGAAAACUGGUAAGCUGGAAUGGGGAAGGGGAAAAGGAAGUCCUGGUGUAGCGGUGAAAUGCGUAGAUAUCAGGAGGAACAUCGGUGGCGUAAGCGCGUUACUGGGCCGUAAUUGACACUGAGGAACGAAAGCCGGGGUAGCAAAUGGGAUUAGAUACCCCUGUAGUC
rnacentral:rRNA from 1 species